rnacentral:rRNA from 1 species
CUUUUGUGGGGUGCUCGAGUGGCGAACGGGUGAGUAACACGUGAGUAACCUGCCCUUGACUUUGGGAUAACUUCAGGAAACUGGGGCUAAUACCGGAUAGGAGCCCCUGCUGCAUGGUGGGGGUUGGAAAGUUUCGGCGGUUGGGGAUGGACUCGCGGCUUAUCAGCUUGUUGGUGGGGUAGUGGCUUACCAAGGCUUUGACGGGUAGCCGGCCUGAGAGGGUGACCGGCCACAUUGGGACUGAGAUACGGCCCAG